GCACUCGUUGCAGGCGACGAUGCAGAGGGCUGUAAGUGUGGUGGCCCAUCUGGGCUCUCGCCUGCAGGCAUUCUCCCCGGCCUUGUGUCGUCCAUUUAGUUGCGCACAGGAGGUGCUCCGCCGGACACCGCUGUAUGACUUCCACCUGGCCCACGGCGGGAAAAUGGUGGCGUUUGCGGGUUGGAGUCUGCCAGUGCAGUACCGGGACAGUCACACUGACUCGCACCUGCACACACGCCAGCACUGCUCGCUCUUUGACGUGUCUCAUAUGCUGCAGACCAAGAUACUUGGUAGUGACCGGGUGAAGCUGAUGGAGAGUCUAGUGGUUGGAGACAUUGCAGAGCUAAGACCAAACCAGGUGGGCCCUUUUAUUUCUGCUCUAUGAGUUUUCUUAGUCAUGAGCCAGCAAAUGGGCUGAGUCCCUACCUCAAGCUUAGGGGCACAGAGAUGAGUCAAACACAGCUUCUCAGGGCUUGCAGUCUUGGACAGAAUCCCUGAGUCAUUUCCAGAGACACAGACAUUUGUAGGGAGGGGAAUAUCCCAGCCUUACUACAUCAGGCUAGGAGGCCAGAAACCAAGGUUAAUAUGCUGCUCUCUGGCCAUCCCUUCUGCUUAACCCCUCUCUAUUCAACAUGUAGUCCCUGGCCAGGCGACGUGACUCAAACACCUGUAAUCCCGGCACUUGGGGAGGCCAAGGCGGGUGGAUCACCUGAGGUCAGGAGUUCGAGACCAGCCUGGCCAACGUGGCAAAACCUCGUUUCUACUAAAAAUACAAAAAUUAGCCGGGCGUGGUGGCGCACGCUUGUAGUCCCAGCUACUUGGGAGGCUGAGGUUGCAGCAAGCUGAGGUUGCACCACUGCGCUCUGGCCUGGGCAACAGAGCGAGACUCAGUUUAAAAAGAAAAAUAACAACAACAAAGUGUGGUCUCUAAACCAGCAUCUUUGGAGCUUGUUAGGAAUAUACUCUCAGGCGCUGCUCCAGACCUGCUGAAUCAGAACCUUCAUUUUAACAAAAUCCCCAGGUGAUUCAUGUGACCCCCUCAACCUCAGGCUUUUUGUCCAUCCAGUGGGGAGGCUAAGGAAGUUUUUUGGGGGCAUUGCUGUGGAGUACUUAGGAGAGCCUGGGAUCAUCAAGAUGACCUUUGAAGCUUUUGUCCUGUGGGUUGGCACAUGGGCUGAGUCGUCCCAGGUUUGGGUAGGUGAAGCAGCAGGUCCUAGGUGUCAUAGAUUAAGCAUCAGAUGGGACUCUCAGUACAGAGUGGGGAGGGGUGCAGAGGUCUCACCAGAUCAGGGAAGCACCCCAAGGUAGGGAGAGGAUGAAAACUUACUUGGUGCAUGAGGAUCAAAGACCUUGGACUUGGGCCCAGACUUGUACCUUGUACACCCUGAGUCCUUCACAUUAGGGUUCAUAACCUUUUGGCAGCUAAGUGGGUCCAGGGUUAUGUCUGGCUCACCCUUGGCCUUGCCCUCCUGGACCUGGAAGCCAAAACGCUCCACUUUGGUCCUAGGGGACACUGUCGCUGUUUACCAACGAGGCUGGAGGCAUCUUAGAUGACUUGAUUGUAACCAGUACUUCUGAGGGCCACCUGUAUGUGGUGUCCAACGCUGGCUGCUGGGAGAAAGAUUUGGCCCUCAUGCAGGUAUACCCCCUCUGUGUUCUAGGCACCUUGUCUUCCUUGUUCAUAGAGCAGCAUCCUUGUUAUCCAAGACAGGGUUGGCACAGACAAAGGACCUGGAAAAUGGCUCUUUCAGUGAAUGAACAGCUAUGAGACUCAAGAGCAGGCCCUCUCUGGAGCAUGCCAGGGUUUGGUGGUGGGGGAUUACCAGGCAUGGGGAGGGGGUCUUGGCCCCUCUGGUGUGAGGUGGCAGACCUGGGCUUGGGUCAUCUCUAUCACUUAGUAGCUAUGUGACCUUGUAAGAUGGGAACCAGCCUACUACCUUUUUUUCCUCCCUCCUCCUCCUCCUCUCCACUGUCUUACUACUGUCCAGCUCUGCAGCGUCCAGCCCAUGGUAGCUGCUCAGUAAGUGGCCCCAGAUGCUCUUGUGUUUCUGUCUUUUAGGACAAGGUCAGGGAGCUUCAGAACCAGGGCAGAGAUGUGGGCCUGGAGGUGUUGGAUAAUGCCCUGCUAGCUCUGCAAGGUGAGAGGGCUGGGCUGGGGUUGGAGCCAACCUUUGCCUUCCUGGCUUUAUUGACUGCUUAGCACAGAGGCCAUACCAAGAAGAAGGUGUGGAAGGUGUGAUAUUUGUGUGCCAUAAUUUUAAGUUUGGUAUCUUGCCCUCCUCCUACCUACCACAAGGCUCCAUGGGCUAGAGACAAGGGCAUCUUCUCCCACUUGCAGAGUAAGACGUGCUCAGGGCUUGUUCUAGUCCCUGAAUAAGGCUUUAGUCCAGGUUUGAGGGAUGCUGGGACCUGGAUACUUGGUCACUGGCUCCCUGGGCCCAGGCCCCACUGCAGCCCAGGUACUACAGGCCGGCGUGGCAGAUGACCUGAGGAAACUGCCCUUCAUGACCAGUGCUGUGAUGGAGGUGUUUGGCGUGUCUGGCUGCCGUGUGACCCGCUGUGGCUACACAGGAGAGGAUGGUGUGGAGAUCUCGGUGCCGGUAGCGGGGGCAGUUCACCUGGCAACAGCUCUUCUGAAAAACCCAGAGGUGAAGCUGGCAGGGCUGGCAGCCAGGGACAGCCUGCGCCUGGAGGCAGGCCUCUGCCUGUACGGGAAUGACAUUGAUGAACACACUACACCUGUGGAGGGCAGCCUCAGUUGGACACUGGGGAAGCGCCGCCGAGCUGCUAUGGACUUCCCUGGAGCCAAAGUCAUUGUUCCCCAGCUGAAGGGCAAGGUGCAGCGGAGGCGUGUGGGGUUGAUGUGUGAGGGGGCCCCCAUGCGGGCACACAGUCCCAUCCUGAACAUGGAGGGUACCAAGAUUGGUACUGUGACUAGUGGCUGCCCCUCGCCCUCUCUGAAGAAGAAUGUGGCGAUGGGUUAUGUGCCCUGCGAGUACAGUCGUCCAGGGACAAUGCUGCUGGUAGAGGUGCGGCGGAAGCAGCAGAUGGCUGUAGUCAGCAAGAUGCCCUUUGUGCCCACAAACUACUAUACCCUCAAGUGAAGCUGGCUCAGGGUGGGGCUGUCCCUUCCAGAAGUUUUGCCCCUACAAGGGGUUAGUCAAGAAGCUGAGGCAGAACUCACUGGGGGUGGGCAGUUAAGGUGGAGGCUGAUUCUAAUUGUCUGGCUGAGGGGCCACACCACCUAUUCCCCCCACCUAACUCAUGCCACUCCAGCUUCCUUCAGGACCCUGCUUCUGAGUGACGGACCAGCUCACACAAUGUCUUGUUUCAGUCCAUGAUCCCACUGACCUACUCUUGCCUGCUGGAGGGUAAUGAGAAGCUUUGGUUCUGCCAUCUCUCCCACUCUGCCAGGUGCUGGCUGUGGAGCAAAGGCUCACCUUUGUGGGGAGGAUAAAACCUGCCCAACCUACCUCACCAUGGUUUUUCACAUUGCAAACGGUAAUAACAUGGGCAGUGUGGACUUAGGCUACCCCCUCCAGUUUGCUUUCCGUAAAUGCAAAUUGUCCCUACUGCAAGUCAGGAAUGAUUGCCGACUCACAGUAGGGCUGCUAUGCCUGUGUGUAAACUUGGGGAUGGCUGAGGGAACACAGACUCACUCUUCCGCAUUCCCAA
rnacentral:sRNA from 1 species